rnacentral:lncRNA from 1 species
GGGCGCCUUCCCAUGCCACCUUCCUGUCUCAUUAUGAUCUUUGUCUCAGGACUUCGGCCCUGGAAUUUCAAUGCCUCCUAGACCAAGCUGGGCACCGGGAAUGCUGCCUCCCCCUGCUGGCUUUUCCUCUCUGCAGCUUGACUUCCUCCAGAGAUCUUCAGGGGCAGCUAAGAACUUGGCAGGAUGCCCAGGGUUUGGCCCUCCUCCCUGGCGGGUGGGGAGGUCAGGGAGUAGAUGCAGGGGCCAACUGGGAGGGCAGUUUUGUGAUUAUGAAAUCAUUCUCGGUGUGUUUUACUUUCUUGUUGAAAAAGGAGAAUAAAUGAUACUGGGGGAAAAAAAAAAACUAGGAAAGGACGGCGAGAGGAAGGACCUUGUCCUCGGGCACACGGGGAGCCAGGCGCUAGCUCAGCACACAUAGGGGCCAUGUGUAGAGAAGCCUUCUGUGCCAGGCAGCAGGCUCAAUGGGUAUUGUUACAGACACUGGGGACAGAGCCAGAGUUGGCAGGUCCUGAUUCUUAUACAAUUUGGGGGUCCAUUUUAAGAUAAAAGAAAAGGGGGGAUUGGAGGCACAGCUCAGCGGUAGACUUUUGUGUUUGGCAUGCUUGAGGUCCUGGGUUCAAUACUCAGCACUAAAAAUAAAAGAGAGAGAAAAAAA